GUCUAUGGCCAUACCCUCCUAGAACACGCCCAGCCUAGUCCGUUCUGGAAGCUAAGCAGGAAUAGAAUCUGGUUAUAGCUG
rnacentral:rRNA from 1 species